AAAAGAGAGUUAAAAAGUACGUGAAAUUGUUGAAAGGGAAGCGUUUAUGACCAGACUUGGGCUUGGUUAAUCAUCUGGGGUUCUCCCCAGUGCACUUUUCCAGUCCAGGCCAGCAUCAGUUUUCGCCGGGGGAUAAAGACUUUGGGAAUGUGGCUCCUCUCGGGGAGUGUUAUAGCCCAUUGUGUAAUACCCUGGCGGGGACUGAGGUUCGCGCUUCUGCAAGGAUGCUGGCGUAAUGG
rnacentral:rRNA from 1 species